GUAACAGAUUAUUUAUAGAGAAUUCUACUUUUAAGAAAGUCUCCUUAACAUUUAUUUUUCAACAAAAAUGGAUAUUUUAUUUUGUUUCAAAAUUGGGAUAGUGCGAAAUAUUAGGUUUGACUCUUAUAUAUGACGAGUUUAAUAUUAAAUUAGAGAAAUGGUAAGGAGACUUUCUUAAGUAAAGUGUGAUUCAUAUGAACUCUCUGCUAUGAUGUUAUCCCACUUCUAAGACCAUCUCCAAUCCUGAGGGAUAAAGUUUAAAAUUUUAAGCCAGAAAAUUUUAAGGUCACAACCCAAAAAUUACUUUUCUUCUCCAACCCUUAUGACUUAAAAUUUUAGCCU
rnacentral:lncRNA from 1 species